rnacentral:rRNA from 1 species
CCUACGGGGGGCAGCAGUGGGGAAUAUUGGACAAUGGGCGCAAGCCUGAUCCAGCCAUGCCGCGUGGGUGAAGAAGGCCUUCGGGUUGUAAAGCCCUUUUGUCCGGAAAGAAAAGCUCGAGGUUAAUACCUUCGGGUCCUGACGGUACCGGAAGAAUAAGCACCGGCUAACUUCGUGCCAGCAGCCGCGGUAAUACGAAGGGUGCAAGCGUUACUCGGAAUUACUGGGCGUAAAGCGUGCGUAGGGAGGUGAAAGCCCUGGGCUCAACCUGGGAAUUGCAUUGGAUACUGGCGGGCUAGAGUGCGGUAGAGGAUGGCGGAAUUCCCGGUGUAGCAGUGAAAUGCGUAGAGAUCGGGAGGAACAUCUGUGGCGAAGGCGGCCAUCUGGACCAGCACUGACACUGAGGCACGAAAGCGUGGGGAGCAAACAGGAUUAGAUACCCCGGUAGUC